GACGAACGCUGGCGGCGUGCUUAACACAUGCAAGUCGAACGGAAAGGCCCUGCUUUUGUGGGGUGCUCGAGUGGCGAACGGGUGAGUAACACGUGAGUAACCUGCCCUUGACUUUGGGAUAACUUCAGGAAACUGGGGCUAAUACCGGAUAGGAGCUCCUGCUGCAUGGUGGGGGUGGGAAAGUUUCGGCGGUUGGGGAUGGACUCGCGGCUUAUCAGCUUGUUGGUGGGGUAGUGGCUUACCAAGGCUUUGACGGGUAGCCGGCCUGAGAGGGUGACCGGCCACAGUGGGACUGCGAUCGGGCCCAGACUCCUACGGGAGGCAGCAGUGGGGAAUAUUGCACAAUGGGCGGAAGCCUGAUGCAGCAACGCCGCGUGCGGGAUGACGGCCUUCGGGUUGUAAACCGAUUUCGCCUGUGACGAAGCGUGAGUGACGGUAAUGGGUAAAGAAGCACCGGCUAACUACGUG
rnacentral:rRNA from 1 species